GUGUGUGUGUGUGUGUGUGUGUGUGUGUGUGAGAGAGAGAGAGAGAGAGAGGUUAUCAAGAAUAGCAAAACCAACUGCUUUAAAAAUCCUAUUGUGUAGUUCAAAUGUCUUGCCCUGACCAAUCUAAUGAAUUAAUUAACGGGCCCUUUAUACUAAACUAAUUUAAACUGAGCAGAUGUUAAGUUAAAUAAAAAAGUUUACUGCUCAGUGUAUCUGUUAGCAUUAUUUUUAACAACUAUCUGCCUGAUUUUUUUGUUUUUGACUUACAGAUAAUCUCGUAAAGGACUUACUCUAGAUUCACACACAAGUAAUGAGCUGAUUUACUGUUUUUAGAACAGUUGAAACUCACCUUACUAAAGAAAAAUUCAGUGAAACCUCUUUAUAAAGUAUGUAUUAUGUAAACGGAGAUCAUUUGUCUAGUAACUGAAUUAUCAUAACAUCAUAUAUCAGAAUUUUAUUGUAUUUGAAAGACAAAAUUAAAAAUAUUUUUAAUGUUUUCAUAUUGUUCCAGAGUUCUAAAAAGAAACUUAGAGUUGAUAAAGACGAUAAGAAUGAUUUCGCAGAAGUAGAGCAUAAUUUUGAAUAGCAGUUACAUAGCAGCUGAGGCAACAUGUUGAAAGGGAUUAAGUGGAGGAGCCAAACAUAACCCUGGACUUGUGAGUGGCAGUUAGGAGCUUAAGGGAAGGGAGUACAGUGGGUGACUUGAUGUUGAUGCCACCUGACUCUUAGACUUUGAGAGCAGCUUGACUACUGACUCCAUUGAGUGCAUUCAGGCAAUGCCUCUUACAGCCUAAAGUGGAAUCUACUGUGAUCUUCAGAUAACAGGAAGAUAGUCUAGUGAUUAACAGAAGAAAACUGAUGAAAUGUUACCCUUUUGAUUCUGAUUGUAGCACUGCUAGCCUAGUAGGUUCUUUUGGUGAUAGACAUUGUAAUUUAAGCGGAAAGUUCCAUAUAUAUGUAUAUAUGACUAGGUCUUAAAACCUUGCUAAUAUGGUUGCCUAUCACCUCAAACUCCACAUCUUGCAAAGUUUAAUAUUGGAGGGGCCUUUCUUCAAGUAAUGGACAUUCUGUUGUGAUGCAGUUAGCUUUAUGGCGCAUAGACGUUCAUAAUUUGAGCCAUGGAUAUUCGUGUGUAUUUGACAGGCCAGAAUAUGAAAAACCCAAUGUCAAAUCCAACCUUCUCCAUGUAUGCCUUAGGUUGAAUUUGUUUUCAAGUUACUAGCUUGUACUGGCUUACACAGUCACACUCAUCUCUGUUUUACUUUAUGCUUAGUCAUAUUUAAAUACAGAAUUUAAUAGUCUACUAGACAGAUAAAUGAGAUGCAUGAAUAUAAAAAUAUAUAAGGGAAAGGAGAUGGUAAACUAUUUAUAACUAUUAUAUUACUAACAUUUUAAAAUUUAUUAGUUGCUUAUAAAUUGUAUAGUUACAAAAUGUCUGUGCUCUAUUAAUCAGAAGAUCGUGGCUGGCUAAUUUUACUGGAGUUUUCAACACAGUUGCCAUUGUGGAAGGUUUUUUGCAUUAAUUGAAAAGUGGGUAAAACAUGGCUUUAACCUCAGCGAGUCAGAUGUACAGAGCACAUGCUUUCAGUAUGUGAGUGGCAUUGGCUGCGCACCUGAAUUAGUGACAGUUGCUCAGCCUGGACAGCUGUGAAAUGGAGUGAGAUCCAGUCAUGGUUCAUUCUUACUUCAAAGGCUUAGUAAUUUGGAAGUUUGAUUGACUGGCACAUUCUAUCAUUGUCAUAACUUAAAUAAUUCAGUUAAAAAUUUUUUAAACAUGAUUUGAUAUUCUAGGGCUUUUCUUUUUUAAAAAAUGAGAAGCAGGUAAAGAAUUGUAAAGAUUUGGGACUUCUUUGUGGCAUUGUGAAAAUAAAUAAGCCAAUGUGAAAGGAA